rnacentral:rRNA from 1 species
GCAAGUCGAACGUGAAAGCAGACUUCUGUCUGUAAGUAAAGUGGCGCACCGGUUAGUAACACGUGGAUAAUCUACCCACAAUCAGGGAUAACAUUUCGAAAGGGAUACUAAUACCUGAUACGCCCACGACCUCUUCGGAGGCUGUGGGAAAAGGUGGGGACCUUCGGGCCUACCGUUGUCGGAUGAGUCCGCGUCCCAUUAGCUAGUUGGUAGGGUAAUGGCCUACCAAGGCUACGAUGGGUAGCUGGUCUGAGAGGAUGAUC